CCGCCUGGGGAGUACGGCCGCAAGGUUAAAACUCAAAUGAAUUGACGGGGGCCCGCACAAGCGGUGGAGCAUGUGGUUUAAUUCGAUGCAACGCGAAGAACCUUACCUGGUCUUGACAUCCACAGAACUUUCCAGAGAUGGAUUGGUGCCUUCGGGAACUGUGAGACAGGUGCUGCAUGGCUGUCGUCAGCUCGUGUUGUGAAAUGUUGGGUUAAGUCCCGCAACGAGCGCAACCCUUAUCCUUUGUUGCCAGCGAUUAGGUCGGGAACUCAAAGGAGACUGCCAGUGAUAAACUGGAGGAAGGUGGGGAUGACGUCAAGUCAUCAUGGCCCUUACGACCAGGGCUACACACGUGCUACAAUGGCGCAUACAAAGAGAAGCGACCUCGCGAGAGCAAGCGGACCUCAUAAAGUGCGUCGUAGUCCGGAUUGGAGUCUGCAACUCGACUCCAUGAAGUCGGAAUCGCUAGUAAUCGUGGAUCAGAAUGCCACGGUGAAUACGUUCCCGGGCCUUGUACACACCGCCCGUCACACCAUGGGAGUGGGUUGCAAAAGAAGUAGGUAGCUUAACCUUCGGGAGGGCGCUUACCACUUUGUGAUUCAUGACUGGGGUGAAGUCGUAACAAGGUAACCGUAGGGGAACCUGCGGUUGGAUCACCUCCUUA
rnacentral:rRNA from 1 species